rnacentral:rRNA from 1 species
GAUGAACGCUGGCGGCGUGCCUAAUACAUGCAAGUCGAGCGAACAGAUGAGGAGCUUGCUCCUCUGACGUUAGCGGCGGACGGGUGAGUAACACGUGGAUAACCUACCUAUAAGACUGGGAUAACUUCGGGAAACCGGAGCUAAUACCGGAUAAUAUAUUGAACCGCAUGGUUCAAUAGUGAAAGACGGUUUUGCUGUCACUUAUAGAUGGAUCCGCGCCGCAUUAGCUAGUUGGUAAGGUAACGGCUUACCAAGGCAACGAUGCGUAGCCGACCUGAGAGGGUGAUCGGCCACACUGGAACUGAGACACGGUCCAGACUCCUACGGGAGGCAGCGGUAGGGAAUCUUCCGCAAUGGGCGAAAGCCUGACGGAGCAACGCCGCGUGAGUGAUGAAGGUCUUCGGAUCGUAAAACUCUGUUAUUAGGGAAGAACAAAUGUGUAAGUAACUAUGCACGUCUUGACGGUACCUAAUCAGAAAGCCACGGCUAACUACGUG